AUGUCACGGCAACACUUCUUCCCCAAUCCCCAAACUGAAACCCUCGAUCGACACCAUUUCCCCCAAUCUCCAAACCCCGGCGAGCUCGCCGGCGGCCGCAGCCGUGCCGAUCCGUCCCCGCUUCAGCUUCCCCCGGAUGACCUGCUCAGGGAGAUCCUCCUCCGCCUCCCGCCGGAGCCCAUCCACCUCUUCCGCGCCUCCGUCGUCUCCAAGCACUGGCGCAGCCUCGUCCACGACGCCCGCUUCCGCCGCCGCUUCCGCGAGUUCCACGGGGGCACGCCUCCCGUGCUCGGCUUCUUCCACAACCAGCUGGGGCAUUCCCUCUUCGUCCCCACCUCUGGCGGCUUCGCGCUCUCCACCGCCUCGAUGCGCCACGGCGAGUGGCGGACCCUCGACUGCCGCCACGGCCGCGCCCUCCUGCACAACAACCGCACCAGGACGCUCCUCGUCUGGGACCCCAUGACCGGCGACGAGCGCUACCUACCAUUCCCCACUCAAGCCCAUCUGGAGAUUGUCCAGUACGAUGGCGCGGUUCUCUGCGCGGCUGGCCACUCGGACCACGGCGACUGCCAUUGGUGCCCGUUCCUCGUGGCAUUCGUGUUCAGCAACCACAGAGAUCUCAUCACCUCUGCCUGCGUCUACUCGUCCGAGACCGGCGUUUGGGGUGAGAUCACUUCGAUUCAUAUUCGAGAUUCAAUAGUUGAUGCAAGCCCGACAGCUCUGCUUGGAAGCACACUUUACUGGCUGUCUGAAAAUGAUAGCAUCAUUGAGUUAGAUUUGGAUAAGAAUAGCUUGGAUUUCAUCGAGGUGCCAUAUGCCGGACAGAUUAUCAUCAUACUGAUAGAGGAUGGUGGUCUAGGUUUUGCCGGUGUUGAUCAAUUCAGCCUUCAUUUCUGGUCAAGGGCAGCUAGCAUCGAUGGGGUAAGAUCAUGGACACAUCGCAGGGUCAUUGAUCUGGAGAAACUUCUUGCACCAGAAGUAGUGGCAGCGUGUAUGAAUCGAGUGUUUCCAGUUGGCUACGCUGAAGACGCUAAUGUGAUCUUCAUUUAUGUGUAUCCAAGCAUCUAUAUGAUCCAUCUGAACUCCAUGCAUAUUGAGGAGGUGUCAGAGAAAGGGACCUAUUGGUUUGUCUUUCCUUACACAAGUUUCUACACCCCAGGAAUCACCACUGGUGGUGGAGAUGAUCAAGCUGUACUGUUGAACGGCAGUUGA
rnacentral:rRNA from 1 species